rnacentral:lncRNA from 1 species
UGUAAUAAUUUGUUCACCUGAAACUAUUGUAACAACUUUUAGAUCAAUUGUCAAUAAAUCUGCCUUUAAUCAGAAACUUGUUGCAAUUGCAGUUGAUGAAAACCAUUGUGCAAAAAAGUGGAGAUGUUCAAGUACACAAUUAGUGGCAUUUCGGUUUCGUUAUAAUAGACUCUUGAAUUGCGAUCACUUGUUCCUAAAAGAAUUCCAGUAUCCGCAUUGACAGCAACUGCAACUAAAA